rnacentral:rRNA from 1 species
UACAGGGGGUGCAAACGUUGCUCGGAAUCAUUGGGCGUAAAGCGCACGUAGGCGGUCUGUUAUGUCGGAUGUGAAAGCCCUUGGCUCAACUGAGGAAGUGCAUCCGAAACUGGCGAGCUAGAGUACGAAAGAGGAUCGCGGAAUUCCCGGUGUAGAGGUGAAAUUCGUAGAUAUCGGGAGGAACACCGGUGGCGAAGGCGGCGAUCUGGGUCGAUACUGACGCUGAGGUGCGAAAGCGUGGGGAGCAAACAGG